UACGUAGGGUGCAAGCGUUGUCCGGAAUUAUUGGGCGUAAAGGGCUCGUAGGCGGUCCAUCGCGUCGGGAGUGAAAAGCUGGGGCUUAACCCCAGUCCUGCUUCCGAUACGGGUGGACUAGAGGUAGGUAGGGGAGAACGGAAUUCCUGGUGUAGCGGUGAAAUGCGCAGAUAUCAGGAGGAACACCGGUGGCGAAGGCGGUUCUCUGGGCCUUACCUGACGCUGAGGAGCGAAAGCAUGGGGAGCAAAAAGG
rnacentral:rRNA from 1 species